CCUACGGGAGGCAGCAGUGAGGAAUAUUGGUCAAUGGCCGGAAGGCUGAACCAGCCAAGCCGCGUGAAGGACGAAGGUGCCAAGCAUUGUAAACUUCUUUUGUCAAGGGACAAAAUCAGGCUCGAGAGCCUGACCGAGGGUACUUGAAGAAACAGCAUCGGCUAACUCCGUGCCAGCAGCCGCGGUAAUACGGAGGAUGUGAGCGUUAUCCGGAUUUAUGGGGUUUAAAGGGUGCGUAGGCGGACUGUUAAGUCAGCGGUAAAAGCCCGGGGCUCAACCCCGGCGAGCCGUUGAAACUGGCGGUCUCGAGGUGUCGAGAGGUAUGCGGAAUGCGCAGUGUAGCGGUGAAAUGCUUAGAUAUUGCGCAGAACUCCGAUUGCGAAGGAAGCAUACCGGCGGCGAUCUGACGCUGAGGCACGAAAGCGUGGGUAUCGAACAGGAUUAGAUACCCUUGUAGUC
rnacentral:rRNA from 1 species